CAGCCGCCACUAUUUAAAGCAAUUGUCCUAGGUCUCUUUUUCCACUUUCUUCUUCCCUGUUCCCGCUGCCUGGAUAAACCAUUCCCCAGGCCCUUCUCGGCUGGCCGGUGCCCACUCUACUCUCCCAGACCCAGCUCAGGGAUGGAUGUGUCUCAGCCGGACUUCAGGCCGCAUCCAGAAGCCCCCAGAAGAACCAUCUAUUUGCAGCCGAUGAAAAGAGCACGGAGGAGUGAUUGUUGCGACAAAUCAGUUUAUUCGUCUCAAAUGGACCCUCGGAGGUUUCCAAGAGGAACAAUUAAAAUUGUUGCUGCCAGAAGGAAGUGACUGCUUCCAAGCCCAGUGUGUUGUAUGGUCUAGAAUACAAUUUAUACUGACAAAGCUUCCACGUGGACUAGAGAAGGUAUUCUGCUGUUGCUGGAUGGAGGGGUCUAUAUACAUCAGCAAGGUUUACAUUCUUACAUCUACGCAGAUAUGCUUUCAGACUCCACCUGCACCACGGGAUAUACUGGGUCUCCUCCCAUUGGCUUGCACUGCAGGUCUGACUUGCCAGUCUCCAUAAUUCCUUGUAACAAUUCUCUUUGUUGCUAAAUAAACACCA